ACAGUCAAUGACAGUGCUAAUACCCAAAUUGGAAUGGUACAGAGAUUAGCCUGGUUCCUGUGUAAAGAUGACAUUCAAAGUUAUGAAAUAAUCUAUAUUUUG